rnacentral:rRNA from 1 species
GGAUAAAAGCUACCCCGGGGAUAACAGGCUUAUCUCCCCCAAGAGUUCACAUCGACGGGGAGGUUUGGCACCUCGAUGUCGGCUCAUCGCAUCCUGGGGCUGUAGUCGGUCCCAAGGGUUGGGCUGUUCGCCCAUUAAAGCGGUACGCGAGCUGGGUUCAGAACGUCGUGAGACAGUUCGGUCCCUAUCCGUCGUGGGCGUAGGAAAUUUGAGAGGAGCUGUCCUUAGUACGAGAGGACCGGGAUGGACAUACCUCUGGUGUACCAGUUGUCGUGCCAACGGCAUAGCUGGGUAGCUAUGUGUGGACGGGAUAAGUGCUGAAAGCAUCUAAGCAUGAAGCCCCCCUCAAGAUGAGAUUUCCCAACUUCGGUUAUAAGAUCCCUCAAAGAUGAUGAGGUUAAUAGGUUCGAGGUGGAAGCAUGGUGACAUGUGGAGCUGACGAAUACUAAUCGAUCGAAGACUUA